UACGUAGGUGGCAAGCGUUUGUCCGGAAUUAUUGGGCGUAAAGCGCGCGCAGGCGGUCCUUUAAGUCUGAUGUGAAAGCCCACGGCUCAACCGUGGAGGGUCAUUGGAAACUGGGGGACUUGAGUGCAGGAGAGAAGAGUGGAAUUCCACGUGUAGCGGUGAAAUGCGUAGAGAUGUGGAGGAACACCAGUGGCGAAGGCGACGUCUUUGGCCGU
rnacentral:rRNA from 1 species